AGCGAACGCUGGCGGCAGGCCUAACACAUGCAAGUCGAACGAAGUCUUCGGGCUUAGUGGCGGACGGGUGAGUAACGCGCGGGAACGUACCUUUUGGUUCGGAAUAACUGAGGGAAACUUCAGCUAAUACCGGAUAAGCCCUUCGGAGGAAAGAUUUAUCGCCAUUAGAGCGGCCCGCGUUGGAUUAGGUAGUUGGUGUGGUAAAGGCGCACCAAGUCUACGAUCCAUAGCUGGUCUGAGAGGAUGAUCAGCCACACUGAGACUGAGACACGGCCCAGACUCCUACGGGAGGCAGCAGUGGGGAAUCUUGCGCAAUGGUCGAAAGACUGACGCAGCCAUGCCGCGUGAAUGAUGAAGGUCUUAGGAUUGUAAAAUUCUUUUAGCAGGGACGAUAAUGACGGUACCUGCAGAAAAAGCCCCGGCUAACUUCGUGCCAGCCGCCGCAGUAA
rnacentral:rRNA from 1 species